UUAGAGCUGGAUGUCACCUGUUCACUGAGCCCUUUGACUGCCCUUCUUAGAAAUUCUGUGUAGUGGUGGCAAAGCCAGGAAAACUGAGGGGCAGAAACCGAAAGUUAACUACAUAUACAUGAUCAGCAUGACACAUAUUAAAAUACGUGUUAAAGUGAACUCAGUAUGAAUACCAUGUGUUACAAGUUUUAUGGAGUUGAUUCACCAGUAAAACCCUUUGCACACAUGUCGAUGCAAAUGGAAAUCACAUUUCCCAGUCGCUUUUAUCUAGACCGAGAUGUGGCCGUGUGAAUAAGUUCUGACCACGGAAAUGCAGAUGGAAGUGAUGGGCACAACAGAAUCCCUGGACUUCAUCUUUUCCCCCUUCAUGUGGCUUUAACCUGCUUUUGGCCGUGCAGAAGAAAGCCACAUCUUAGAGGAAGCUGGAUAGGUAAGACAGAAGAAAACUGUAUUCUUGAAUGAUCACAAGAAACAUAGUACCCCACUGAUAUGGACCAAUCGUCUUUAGAUUAUGUGUGAGAGAAAUAAACUUUAAUCCUAUUGAAGACAC